CAGUGAUAAACUGGAGGAAGGUGGGGAUGACGUCAAGUCAUCAUGGCCCUUACGAGUAGGGCUACACACGUGCUACAAUGGCAUAUACAAAGAGAAGCGACCUCGCGAGAGCAAGCGGACCUCAUAAAGUAUGUCGUAGUCCGGAUUGGAGUCUGCAACUCGACUCCAUGAAGUCGGAAUCGCUAGUAAUCGUGGAUCAGAAUGCCACGGUGAAUACGUUCCCGGGCCUUGUACACACCGCCCGUCACACCAUGGGAGUGGGUUGCAAAAGAAGUAGGUAGCUUAACCUUCGGGAGGGCGCUUACCACUUUGUGAUUCAUGACUGGGGUGAAGUCGUAACAAGGUAACCGUAGGGGAACCUGCGGUUGGA
rnacentral:rRNA from 3 species